AAUGAACGCUGGCGGCAGGCCUAAAACAUGCAAGUCGAACGAUGUAGCAAUACAGAGUGGCGCACGGGUGAGUAACAUGUGGGAAUAUGCCUUUUGGUACGGGACAACAGUUGGAAACGACUGCUAAUACCGUAUGUUCCCUUCGGGGUAAAGAUUUAUCGCCAAAAGAGUAGCCCGCACUAGAUUAGUUUGUUGGUAAGGUAAUGGCUUACCAAGACGACGAUUGGUAGCUGGUUUGAGAGGAUGAUCAGCCACACUGGAACUGAGACACGGACCAGACUCCUACGGGAGGCAGCAGUUAGGAAUAUUGGACAAUGGGCGCAAGCCUGAUCAAGCCAUGUCGCGUGAACGAUGAAGGCCUUCGGGUUGUAAGCUCUUUUACCUGUGAUGAUAAUGACAGUAGCAGGAGAAAAAGCUCCGGCUAACUUCGUGCCAGCAGCCGCGGUAAUACGAAGGGAGCGAGCGUUGUUCGGAAUUACUGGGCGUAAAGCGUGCGUAGGCGGUUUAGUAAGUUAGAAGUGAAAGCCCUGGGCUCAACCUAGGAAUUGCUUUUAAAACUACUAAACUAGAAUCUCGGAGGGGAUGGUGGAAUUUCCAGUGUAGAGGUGAAAUUCGUAGAUAUUGGAAGGAACACCAGUGGCGAAGGCGACCAUCUGGACGAGUAUUGACGCUGGGGGCACGAAAGCGUGGGGAGCAAACAGGAUUAGAUCCCCUGGUAGUCCACGCCGUAAACGAUGUAAACUAGCCGUUGGGACCUUAGGUUUCAGUGGCGCAGCUAACGCACUAAGUUUACCGCCUGGGGAGUACGGCCGCAAGGUUAAAACUCAAAGGAAUUGACGGGUACCCGCACAAGCGGUGGAGCAUGUGGUUUAAUUCGAUGCAACGCGCAGAACCUUACCAGCCCUUGACAUCCCGAUUGGGAGGAGCAGAGAUGCACGCUUUCGGUUCGGCCGGGGAGUGAAUAGGUGCUGCAUGGCUGUCGUCAGCUCGUGUCGUGGGAUGUUAGGUUAAUUUCCGCAACGAGCGCAACCCUUAUCGUAUGUUGCCAUCAGGUUAUGCUGGGAACUCAUGCGAGACUGCCGGUGACAAGCCGGAGGAAGGCGGGGACGACGUCAAGUCAUCAUGGCCCUUACGUGUGGGGCUACAAACGUGCUACAAUGGUAAGACAAUGGGCAGCCACUCCGCAAGGAGGCGCUAAUCUCCAAACGUUAUCUCAGUUCGGAUUGUUCUCUGCAACUCGAGAGCAUGAAGUUGGAAUCGCUAGUAAUCGUGCAUCAGCAUGUCACGGUGAAUACGUUCCCGGGUCUUGUACACACCGCCCGUCACGUCAUGGGAGUUGGUUUCACCCGAAGGCGGGGCGCUAACCGUAAGGAGGCAGGCGACCACGGUAGUGUCAGCGACUGGGGUG
rnacentral:rRNA from 1 species